rnacentral:rRNA from 1 species
AUUGAACGCUGGCGGCAUGCCUUACACAUGCAAGUCGAACGGCAGCACGGGUGCUUGCACCUGGUGGCGAGUGGCGAACGGGUGAGUAAUACAUCGGAACAUGUCCUGUAGUGGGGGAUAGCCCGGCGAAAGCCGGAUUAAUACCGCAUACGAUCUACGGAUGAAAGCGGGGGACCUUCGGGCCUCGCGCUAUAGGGUUGGCCGAUGGCUGAUUAGCUAGUUGGUGGGGUAAAGGCCUACCAUGGCGACGAUCAGUAGCUGGUCUGAGAGGACGACCAGCCACACUGGGACUGAGACACGGCCCAGACUCCUACGGGAGGCAGCAGUGGGGAAUUUUGGACAAUGGGCGAAAGCCUGAUCCAGCAAUGCCGCGUGUGUGAAGAAGGCCUUCGGGUUGUAAAGCACUUUUGUCCGGAAAGAAAUCCUUGGCCCUAAUACGGUCGGGGGAUGACGGUACCGGAAGAAUAAGCACCGGCUAACUACGUG